rnacentral:rRNA from 1 species
GAUGAACGCUGACAGAAUGCUUAACACAUGCAAGUCGACUUGAAGCAACUUCGGUUGUGGAAAGUGGCGGACGGGUGAGUAACGCGUAAAGAACUUGCCCUUCAGUCUGGGACAACCAUUGGAAACGAUGGCUAAUACCGGAUAUUAUGGAACUCUCGCAUGGGAGGAUCAUGAAAGCUAUAUGCGCUGAAGGAGAGCUUUGCGUUCCAUUAGCUAGUUGGUGAGGUAACGGCUCACCAAGGCGACGAUGGAUAGCCGGCCUGAGAGGGUGAUCGGCCACAAGGGGACUGAGACACGGCCCUUACUCCUACGGGAGGCGGCAGUGGGGAAUAUUGGACAAUGGACCAAAAGUCUGAUCCAGCAAUUCUGUGUGCACGAUGAAGGUUUUCGGAUCGUAAAGUGCUUUCAGUUGGGAAGAAGAAAGUGACGGUACCAACAGAAGAAGCGACGGCUAAAUACGUGCCAGCAGCCGCGGUAAUACGUAUGUCGCAAGCGUUAUCCGGAUUUAUUGGGCGUAAAGCGCGUCUAGGCGGGUUCAUAAGUCUGAUGUUAAAAUGCGGGGCUCAACUCCGUAUUGCGUUGGAAACUGUGAACCUAGAGUAUCAGAGAGGUGGGCGGAACUACAAGUGUAGAGGUGAAAUUCGUAGAUAUUUGUAGGAAUGCCGAUGGAGAAGUCAGCUCACUGGAUGAAUACUGACGCUAAAGCGCGAAAGCGUGGGUAGCAAACAGG